rnacentral:rRNA from 1 species
GCUGGAUCCGAAACUGAAGACGAAAUCGCACCGAAACCGAAAACCGAAAUCGAAACCGAAACCAGAGCCAAAGCCGAAACUGAAACUGAAUCCGGGACUGAAAUAGAAACUGAAACCGAAAGGCAAGGCUCAAAGGCAGCAGGAGGCGAUGCAGCUAAAUCGGAGUACGAGUACUUUAA